UACAGAGACUGCAAGCGUUAUUCGGAUUCACUGGGCGUAAAGGGUGCGCAGGUGGCCAAGUGUGUUAGGCGUGAAAGCCCGGGGCUUAACCCCGGAAUUGCACCUAAAACUACUUGGCUAGAGCAUUGGAGAGGGGAGCAGAAUUCAUGGUGUAGCAGUGAAAUGCGUAGAUAUCAUGAGGAAUACCAGAGGCGAAGGCGGCUCCCUAGACAAUUGCUGACACUCAGGCACGAAAGCGUGGGGAGCAAAAGGG
rnacentral:rRNA from 1 species